rnacentral:rRNA from 1 species
UGCAAGUCGAACGGCAGCACGGACUUCGGUCUGGUGGCGAGUGGCGAACGGGUGAGUAAUAUAUCGGAACGUGCCCAGUAGCGGGGGAUAACUACGCGAAAGCGUGGCUAAUACCGCAUACGCCCUAAGGGGGAAAGCGGGGGAUCUUGGGACCUCGCACUAUUGGAGCGGCCGAUAUCGGAUUAGCUAGUUGGUGAGGUAAUGGCUCACCAAGGCGACGAUCCGUAGCUGGUUUGAGAGGACGACCAGCCACACUGGGACUGAGACACGGCCCAGACUCC